rnacentral:rRNA from 1 species
UGUUGUAAGGAGGGCAGGGCAACAAGGACCGGUCUGUGCAUAUAGCCGCCGAUGCAGGUCCAGUUGUCCGUCCCCCUCUGAGCCGCUCCCUAGUUACCUCCCAACAGCACAGGCCGGUACCUGGUCCGAUGGCCGCGGCGACGACCACCGCGACCGGACGCGGCGGCGGCGACGGCACCCGCUCACGUCCCACCACGUGCACCCUCUCCGCGUGGCCGCCUCGUACGACCGGUUACCGGAGCCGCGCUGCGGGGGGUACCCCACCUUGUCGACCUUAGUGAAGCCCACGCUGCCGUUGCCGCUCCAACAGUAGUCCCUCUGGCGGCUACGCGAACACAGGUGGCCCGAGCGGCGACAGCCGAUGUUUAUGCAGUUGGAACUACUAACGACCCGUCUUGGGCUUGCACUACGCUUCCCGUUGGAACGCCGCUUGUUCUUCUGCAAUGGGGUGCCCUAUUUCCGUGAGCGUCUGAUACAGGUGUCGUUCCCCGAGUUCGAGCCGUAGAUGAGGCUACGACCUAUGUUCUGUACGCGGUUCCGAGUUGGGCCUAGGGAGCCGGUGCUCCUCGUCCUGCGGUUUUGGAAACGCAGGACCCCGUAGCUGAUGGAGUUCAUGCUGUUGACGUUGUUGCCGCUGUGCUUCGGCGACGUCUCCAUGGGACUGUACUCGUUCCGAGACUACGUCCGGCCGGCGGGGUAGAAGAAGUUGGAGACGCUUACCCCGCUGUACGUGGGCCGCGCCACCCCGCGCCGCAUGCCGUUGUCGACCUCUUGGUGGUUGCUGUAGCUCCUGUGGACCUUGUCGUACUACAGCUCCCGCCUGGUCUUGCUCCACACCCGGCUCAUGCGCGCGGGGCCGCCGACCUUGCUGGGGCUGUACGACCUCCACCCGUUGCCUCCCUACUGGUUGCUGCUCAUGUAGCACGUGAAGUCGUAGACCCGCUAGAGUUUCCGCGGAGACUAGUAGCCGACGCUGCACUCCGUGUACAGCGUCCUGUGCAUGCUGUAGGAGCGGUUGUUCCUCCACUAGCGGCAGUUGGUUCUAGGAGAGCCGUAGGUCCCCUUCUUUCACUCCUACCUCCCCUCGUCACUCUAGACCCGACCCGGAGACUGCCCCAUGUCCUGCCGCCACGACGACGACUUGGCCGUGCUGUUCCUGCUCCGGGUCUAGUGCCGCGUGACCCUGCUGUAGCCGGAGGGGCGGCCGUGGCGUCAGCUCCGGUCCCUGGAGACCUACGUGUUCUGCGAGCUGUGGUUCAAGUGCCUGUUCUACUCGAAGUUGCACUGCGGCGUACGCCGGUCCUACAAGUACGAGUGCGGAGAGUUCAGGGUCUACCUAAUUCCUUUUUGCUGUACCCAACUACGGGCGAGGUUUUCGAGGUUUUAACUAAUAUGUUUAUGUCAUGUAAAAAAGUAUGAAGAUUAAAGGCAUUAUUAAACCUGUAUCAAAAAAUCGCACAUUAUUAAAAAAACUCUUGAAGAUGAUCACACAUUAUUCCAGACCCGUGAAAGCCAAGGACCAUUCCAGUUUUGAAAACACACCUUUCACAAUGUACCUCGGUAAGGGCAAUUUAGUUGGGACUGCCUAGCAGUAUAACCCUGCCUGCUGGCCACAGGUCAAACAGUACUAGUAGGCCUUCUGGACUUUGUGAACGAUAAACUUACGCGUGGUCGUUUUUGCUACACCGUGUUUGGGUUCGGAGAUAAGGUCCGUUUCUAAAACGAGAUUUCAAAUCGGUGAACACACUUUUACUACAUACCACUUAUGGCGUACACUGUGCACGAUAAACAAACCAUGGACCACCACAUCUUGACGAAACAUCUAAAUUCCAAAGCAAAAUUUAAAAAACUUGAACACACGACUUAAGAACCCACGCCAACCCACGCCAAUCGCUAAACCCACCGGACCAGUUGGAACGUAAAACAGACAUCUAUAACAUCCCGCCACCGGCAAACCUACACGUACGUACGUAGCACUCCUCAACCAAGAGUCAAACCGAAACACGUACGUAGCCAACCCAUCUGCCAACACUCAAAUAAAAACGGUACCAGACAGAUAACGUUCAAAAAAAAUCCUAGACAGAUAACGUUCAAAACUUUGCACUAUCCAACCCACAACGACCACGGUAGAGCUAUCAGGCUACCCACCAUGAAAGACCUCAAAGGUGGCCUGAUAUUUAUGCCCUAAAAAAAAAUUCAACGUAAGCUAACGAUCGUCGUACGUUACAAAGUACCGGUAGCCGCGACCUGUACGCUGCUCAGAUUGGACGAUCUGCAGCGGCAAGUACGGUAGUAGCCGCCGGGGAGCCGCUACCUCAUGUGUGACAACCUGUCGUUCCACGCACCAUGGCCCCGGCCGGCGGUCGUUCGCUACACCCAGAGCUGCCGGAAGACGCCAAGUGGCUGCUUCGGAAGGCUGUUCUUCUUCAGGUCCACUCCAACUAAAGAGGCCCACGCUGCCACCGUUGACGCCCUCCGGAGGUCUGACACACCGGCCUUCGCCACAACGACUGCAAGCCGCUCCGGGGCUACCGCGCGCCGCCUCGAGCGCGAGCCGCCGGUACCACUGCCGGUCGCGUCCCGUGCGCGCUGAGACGCUACCGCUCGUGCUCCUGUGCCUCCUCGAGUACGUCGCGCAGUGCCGCCACGUCCAGCUGUCACCCACCACCCACGAACGCCGCCACGUACAAGUCCGCCUCGAGCGCCUCGUUACUGACGAUCACGCACGUACGCCACCGGCAAUCUCGUGCGCAUCCGCAGAGUCUCUCGCACUCCUUAACCUUCGCCUGCCAACGAUCCCGUCGGCUACGGACGACGUCGCGUUCCUUGAGCUGCUCGAGUCCGCCCUAGCCCGGUCUCUCGUCGCGGCACAUCUACCGUUCGCAUAGGUCGAUGUCCAAGAGUUCAGUAGUUCCACUACCGCGGUACGACGUCACAGGCGCGCUACCUCUUCUGCCAAGUGACUUACUUGGAGACGAGGAUGAAGGGCCCCAGCGGCACAACUGGCGAGGUUCUUCUCUGAGUUCAUGCGGUAGUAGCGACAAACCGUGUAACAUGAACAUGCGCGGGUGCAGAUUGGAGGAUAGGAAUAAGAGA